GCCCAGAUAGCUCAGUCGGUAGAGCAUCAGACUUUUAAUCUGAGGGUCCAGGGUUCAAGUCCUGUUUUUGGGCG
rnacentral:tRNA from 1 species